UGGACAACUCUCCGAAAGGAGAGCUAAUACAGCAUGAUGGCGCGACUUUACGAAGUUGUGUCUAAAGCGGGCCUCUCCACGGAAGCUCGCGCUUGAGGAUGAGCCUGCGGCCCAUCAGCUAGUUGGUUGGGGUAAUGGCCCACCAAGGCUACGACGGGUAGCUGGUCUGAGAGGAUGAACAGCCACACUGGAACUGAGACACGGUCCAG
rnacentral:rRNA from 1 species